GUCGCGGUGUCCGAGUGGUUAAGGAGAUUGACUAGAAAUCAAUUGUGCUUGCACGCACAGGUUCGAGUCCUGUCCGCGACG
rfam:Hypsibius dujardini strain Z151 scaffold0108, whole genome shotgun sequence.